rnacentral:lncRNA from 1 species
CCAUCCUCAUAUGCUACAUGAUCUUACAUCUAAGAGAGAGCAAAUUGUGUGCCAGUGAUGAUAUAUUGUUGAAGUGUACAAACAUAUGUUCCAGGUGGUUGUUGUUGAUGAUAGUUUUUUUGAAACACGGUCCCUUAGGGUCCGAUUCAUUAAAAAGGAUAGAAGAGAGUUGCCCAGUUAAUUGUUGCUGAUGAUAGUUGUGAAGCCUAUCAUCACCGAAAGCAUAUACACAUCUAAGGUUCUUUCUCUUCUUUCACAUGCUAAGAUGUUGUUUGUUGUGAUUUGAUAUAUAGUGUUUGCGUAGUGAUAUGCAAGGCAAACCACUUAUGCAGUGAACCAACAAAUUAUAGAGUUGACGGGGCUGAUGUGAAUUAUACUUUAUCUCUGUUUUUUAGCAAGGCUACUUUUAUAUGUAGAUCUAGAGCCCUCAUGUAUAGGUGACAAAGAUCUAUGAAAAAAGAUGGAUAUAAAGUAUAUCCAUUUGUGUGUCAAUUUCAGGAUCUAUGUGUGUGUGUGUGUGUGNNNNNNNNNGUGUGUGUGUGUGUGUAGGUCUUGACUAUCUCAUGGAUAAAGUAUCUCCAUUUUUUUUGUUCCAUUCAUUCAAAUUUUAGCAUAAUUUUCGGUUUAGGUCAAGAGACCAUGCGAAAUCCCUCCUUGUAACUGGCUAAAAUUUCAAAGGUUUUCACAAGAAACUAGAGCUGCACUAAUAUCUUGGGGUAAAGUAUGUAAACCAAAAGAGCAUGGAGGUCUGGGCAUAUUAAGUAUCCAUACUCAUAAUAAAGGUUUGCUCAUGAAAUUCCUGCAGAAAUUUUUCAACAAAGAUUAGGCACCAUGAGUCCAGAUCAUUUGGGAAACCUAUUAUCAGGAUUCUUUACCAGGUUUGAGAUUGGUAGGCUCAUUCUGGUGGAAGAACG